ensembl:snRNA U6 U6 spliceosomal RNA
GUGCUCACUUUUGGCAGCACUUAUACUAAAAUUGGAAUGAUACAGAGAAGAUUAGUAUGGCCUCUGCACAAGGAAGACACACAAAUUCAUGAAGCGUUACAUAUUUUU